UACGUAGGGUGCAAGCGUUGUCCGGAAUUAUUGGGCGUAAAGAGCUCGUAGGCGGUCUGUCGCGUCGGCUGUGAAAACCCGGGGCUCAACCCCGGGCCUGCAGUCGAUACGGGCAGACUAGAGUGUGGUAGGGGAGACUGGAAUUCCUGGUGUAGCGGUGAAAUGCGCAGAUAUCAGGAGGAACACCGGUGGCGAAGGCGGGUCUCUGGGCCAUAACUGACGCUGAGGAGCGAAAGUGUGGGGAGCGAACAGG
rnacentral:rRNA from 1 species